AUUGAACGCUGGCGGCAGGCCUAACACAUGCCAGUCGAGCGGAUGAAGGGAGCUUGCUCCUGGAUUCAGCGGCGGACGGGUGAGUAAUGCCUAGGAAUCUGCCUGGUAGUGGGGGAUAACGUCCGGAAACGGGCGCUAAUACCGCAUACGUCCUGAGGGAGAAAGUGGGGGAUCUUCGGACCUCACGCUAUCAGAUGAGCCUAGGUCGGAUUAGCUAGUUGGUGGGGUAAAGGCCUACCAAGGCGACGAUCCGUAACUGGUCUGAGAGGAUGAUCAGUCACACUGGAACUGAGACACGGUCCAGACUCCUACGGGAGGCAGCAGUGGGGAAUAUUGGACAAUGGGCGAAAGCCUGAUCCAGCCAUGCCGCGUGUGUGAAGAAGGUCUUCGGAUUGUAAAGCACUUUAAGUUGGGAGGAAGGGCAGUAAGUUAAUACCUUGAUGUUUUGACGUUACCAACAGAAUAAGCACCGGCUAACUUCGUG
rnacentral:rRNA from 1 species